GAUGAACGCUGGCGGCGCGCCUAACACAUGCAAGCCGAACGAUUAAAGCACCUUCGGGUGUGUAUAAAGUGGCGAACGGCUGAGUAACACGUGGGCAACCUGCCCCUCUCAUUGGGAUAGCCACGGGAAACCGUGGAUAAUACCGAAUACUUCGGGACUUCCGCAUGGAAGACUCGAGAAAGCUCCGGCGGAGAGGGAUGGGCCCGCGGCCUGUUAGCUUGUUGGUGGGGUAAUGGCCUACCAAGGCAAUGAUGGGUAGCUGGGUUGAGAGACCGACCAGCCAGAUUGGGACUGAGACACGGCCCAGACUCCUACGGGAGGCAGCAGUGGGGAAUCUUGCACAAUGGGCGAAAGCCUGAUGCAGCGACGCCGCGUGCGGGAUGAAGGCCUUCGGGUUGUAAACCGCUUUCAGCAGGGACGAGGCGAAAGUGACGGUACCUGCAGAAGAAGCCCCGGCUAACUACGUG
rnacentral:rRNA from 1 species